ensembl:lincRNA
CAUCACGGAGCACAGUCUCUAGGAAACACCGGGAUGGCAGAAAUCACGUGUGGAAAAUCCUUAAUUUCUCUCAAGUCAUUUCUCAUCUGAAAAAUGAAGGUGUUGGAAACUCUCCCUUUGGACCGUCUUUGCUGCCGUUUCAAUAGGAAGGGGUUAGAUUCUCUGCCUCCUGCCAAAAAGCAGUUAAGCUCAGAGGUCAGCACCAGACUGUCCACCACGUCACCUCCCUCUGAGGGCCCUGGCCAAUACCCGGCUGGCAUUCUGACUUCCCCACCUUGAGCACCCAGUUUGAGGUCCUUCCCAGGCCCUCUCAUCCUCUCUGCUGGAGCCCAGUGCCCACCCCUCUCCCCCUGAGACCCCUCCUGCCCCAGUUCCCUGACUCUGCCGACUGCAGCCCACCACCUGGUUUAAUAAAUGAAGCUUUAAUCUUUUGUCUGUGGCUGCUUUCAAGACACAAAGACAGAGUUAAGUCUUUGUGACAGAGAUCACAGGGCUCCCCAUGUAACUGACAGUAUUUUGUGUGGCCCUUCGCAGACCAAGUUUGCCCACCCCUGCGCCUACUGCUGCCAGAAAGGGAGGUUGUUGGUGACCUCCUGCCCUUCACCUUGCAACGUGGUCAGUGGCUUCUCCAGGAGGAAGCAUAGGUGACUCUUGUCCCUUCCCCCUGGUGGUUGCAGUGACCUGCAGCCUUCCACAGGUUCCACGGUUACCUGGCCUCGGGGCAGGGAGUGCACCCCAUGGCUGGAGGCCAGCACACAACCUGGGUCACCAGGCUGAUGGAGGAAGGCAGGAACCCCUCCACCCGCAUGCUUCAAGAGCACCCGCCCUUAGGUGCAUCGCUGGGUGAGAUCACCGACUGGCCAGGAGAGGGGAGCAGACGCAUCAGAACACAUCCAUCACCGACUGGCCAGGAAAGGGGAGCAGACGCAUUGAAUCACAUCCUGCUUGCCAUGGCCAGUGCUCGGCCACUGAAGGAAGUGCUGAAGGAAGGAGCCCAGGGACUCUUGUUUCUCCAGAAGGUCUGCAAGAGCUGAAGGUCAUGGACUACUCUGGCAAUAAGCACAGGACCUGCAGUACUGAGGAUUCGUGGUUGAGAGAUGAAUGAACUCCAGCCGGUGUCCAUGAGACCAGCAGGGGAAGAGUUAGGAAUAAGCACCACUGCGUUCACGGUGACUGGCAGUGACCACAUGGGGUGCAGGCGUCUGGAGGCUGAGUGUGGAGGGGCUCCCUGCCUGAGGCUUGGAGGCGAGCCUUCUACAAGGCAGUUAUUGGGGCUGCUGAUUCUGGAACUAGGAGGCCAGCCAAUCUCCCCCAAAUGAGAACUCAAUGUAUUUUCCCUUUAACCUGGGCUACCAGGACAUUCCAAAGCAAAAUUAGUGUGCAGAUAGUGACUAGACAUUUCAGGCUCCUGACAUCUAGUUCUUAGUGAAUCUGAUUUUGGUCCUUGUUAAAACUGUGCUAGAAAAAGAAAGAAAAAAAAAGAACAGAGGCAACCCUAAAGUAGAAGUGUUUUUUAAAAAUUAAUCUUUAGCCUCAAAGAGUGACUCUUCAUGAGACCCCAGAGAAGAAUGUGUGAAGAACCACAUGAUUAGCCUCUCUCUGCCCUUCUCAUGCUGAUUCUCACAUAGCACCUCUAAUAAACACAUAGCCCAAACAAUUCUAGCUCCGC